UACGUAGGGGGCGAGCGUUGUCCGGAAUUACUGGGCGUAAAGGGUGCGUAGGCGGCUCAUUAAGUCAGAUGUGAAAGGCUACGGCUCAACCGUAGUAAGCAUUUGAAACUGAUGAGCUUGAGUUAAGGAGAGGAAAGUGGAAUUCCUAGUGUAGCGGUGAAAUGCGUAGAUAUUAGGAGGAAUACCAGUGGCGAAGGCGACUUUCUGGCCUUUAACUGACGCUGAGGCACGAAAGCGUGGGGAGCAAAC
rnacentral:rRNA from 1 species